rnacentral:lncRNA from 13 species
AUGAACCUGGGGCGUGCCGGGGGGCAGCUGCGGCUUCGGGAGCAGCGCUGGCUUGGUCCUGCUCGGGGACGGACUUUUGGGAGCGCCAUCCUUGGCCUGGCUGAGGUCCAGCGCGGUGUCACCGUCACAGCCUCCGUGCCCGAGAUGCCCCAGGCUUUUCCCGGCCUCCUCGGAUGCCAGCGCGUCCUUGAGGAACACGAAUUCCACGGCGGGGUGGCUGCUGAUCUCGCUGAUGGUCAUUUCCAGCUCGCGGAUGGUUUCCUCCAGGCUGUCCAGUCUUUGGUAGGUGUCCUCAUAAAUCUCCUUUUUGCCCGGGGCCGUGGGGCGCCCGGGGGACAAGUGGCCUCUGUAGAGCCCCUCUGUUGCCUUUCCCCCCGUUCCGGGGUCCCCCGCAGUAGCCGGAGCCCCUCCAUCCCAUCCCGGAGGUGCCGCGGAGUGGCUGGAGCGGGCAGGAAUCUGCUCCGGGGGCUGCUCCGCCCGGGAAUGUGCCGCUCCCCGCAGGGCUGGAUCCCUGCCUGCGGGAAUCCCGGGAUGUGGCACCGGGCAGGCCGCGGCUGGCGAGCUCUCCUCUCUCCACGCGGCUUUGGGAGCCCCGGCAGAGUGUCCAGGAGGAAGCCUGGCUCUUUCCGCAUCGCCGGGAAUUUGGGGAAUGAUCCCGGCACCGACGGAGGGGAGCGCGGUCUCCGCAGCUCCGGCACCUCCCGCCUGGCUCCGAGGAGGCUGCGCAGCCCCAGGACCUUGGGGACAAGUCUUGCCGCUGCCUCCUGGCCUGCUGGCAGCGUCCAGAGCCGCGUCCCCUCCUUGUUCCCCCGUUUUAUCCCUCGGGAAAGGCGGGGCCUUGCUGGCUGCCGAAGGGAGCCCCCGGGAUGCGCUGCCGGGGGGCUGCGGGGCUGGACGGGGUCCCUGCGCCAGCGGGGAUUUUGGGGAGCUGCCAGGAGCCGCCACACGGCCUCUCCUUGUCCCCUCGGGUGGCAGCUGCCCUCCUGCUCCGGCGCUGCCCGGUGCCACCCACAGCUCCGGCUCGGCUUCGGGGGACGGCGGCUCCGACACCCACUCGGUGAGCACGAUCUGGGGCAGGGAGAAGGCGCGGCUCGCCGGGGCUGCCAGCGCCAGCGGCUCCUGGGUAGAGAAUUCAGACAGAUUAGGGGCCAGGCGGCAGCGGGGUUUGCCUGGGGGGGCACCACGGGGCGCCACAAAUUAUUGGGGUCCCCCCACGCCGGCGCCUCCGGGCACGGCGGAGUUCCAGGCGGGAGUUUGGGCAGGGAGGGAGGUUCCGAUCCCUCCUGCCCAUCCCACACACCCCGCUGGGAGGGACAGAGUGGACAAGGACUGGAAAGGGGUGCUCAGCUCCCUCCUGGAGCCCUGACAUCCCACAGGGAGGCACAGGGUGGAUGGGGCUGGAAAGGGAUGCUCAGCUCCCUCCUGUCCAGCCCUACAUCCCACAGGGAUCCACAGCAUGGACAGGGAAUGCAGAGAGGCUCAGCUCCCUCCUGUCCAGCCCUACAUCCCACAGGGAUCCACAGCAUGGACAGGGACUGGAAGAGGAAGCUCAGCUCCCUCCUCCAGCCCUGGCAUCUCAUUGGAGCAAAAAAGAAUAGAGCAAAAAUGAAGCUGGUGUUUCUGCACCUCCCGAAUGCCUUUGGAAAUCCCGCUGCCACCAUCCAGCCGGGAUUUCUCCAUGCUGGUACAAACUGGGGGCACUGGUGUGAGAGCAGAGCUCCAGCGGGGGCUGAGCCAUCCCAGCCGAGCUGCUCAGGGGCACCCGAGCUUUCAUACCCUGAGGGGCAAGAAAUUACCCCAAAAAUGCUGCUCUUCCUGCCCCACUUCCCUGUUCCCGUCCCAAGGGACAUCCAUGGAAUGCCUGAGGGAGCCGAGCCGAGGGCAGAGGAGCUGCAGAGAUGCCCUGGCAGGAUUGGUGCCCCUGCAGCUGCCCCGGAGCCUGGGGCAGAGCGGGAGGGAAACGCCAGCUCUGGGAAGGCCACGGAGCUCUGGGUGUGCAGCUGGAGCCAUCCCAGCUCUGGAGCAGAGGGGCAGAGGGAUGAUCCAGCCCUGGUGUCCCAGGAGAGGGAAGGAACCCCGUGGGACCCCUGCAAGGGGCCAGACCCUCCCUCUGGGGACGAGCCAGAGCUCCCCUCGCUCCUGGCACGGCAGCAGCCCGUGUCCUGCUCUUUGCCCCCACCUGGGCAUUCCCUGCUCCAUCCCAGCCGCUCUCCAGGCAUUUUCCUCCUGCUCUCUCCAUCCUGGGAAUUCCCUGCUCCAUCCUGAGCACUCUCCAGGCAUUUCCGCCUGUUUUCUCCACCCUGGCAAUCCCUUAUUUAAUCCCAAUCCCUCUCCAGGCAUUUUCCUCCUUCUCUUCCUGCUUUGCGCAUUCCCUGCUCCUUCCCAGCCGCUCUCCAGGCAUUUUCCUCCUGCUCUCCCCACCCCAGAGCCCAGCAUGGAGGUCAGGAGGGCCGGGAGAAACCCGGAGCCGAGCCCAGGCAGAUCCAAACCAGCGGACUCUGCUCCAACCCUUCCCUUUCCAUGCACUCAGAGGGGGCUCUCCCAUGCACCGCCCACCCCCCGGGCACCCAGCGUGGCGUGAGAGCGGCGGGCGCUGCCCGUGCCGUGCCCGGCGCGGUGCUGGGGUGGCCCGGGAGCCUCCCGGGAGCCGCGGCCGUGGGUUAGUGCUGGGUCCGGUGCCGCGUCAGUGCCGUGAGCGAGGCAGUGGGGAGAGAAGCCGUUAAUUAGUUGGUUAAAUCAGAGAAAAGCGGCAGAAGUGAGCUCAGAAGAGGCAGAGGAGGAAGGCGGUGAGAGCGCAGCCCCGGGGAGCUGUUACCUUCCAUCCUUCGGCUGCCACCGCGGCUCCGUUGGGCCACGGGUCGGAGUGGCCCGGGGACACGGCCUCGAGGGGGUCACAACGGAGCGUGGGGAGGAAAGGGGAGGCGGAGCUGCGCUGAAACACCUGGGGAGUCAAACACGGCGUUGGAGGGGGAAGGGCUGGGGCGAGCAGGGCACAGCCCGAGCCUGUCCGGGGCUCGCAGCAGGGGAAACCUUGGCGGUUGUCAGGGGCAGAGGUAGCAUUGCCCCUGUGCUGCUGGCAGUGUCACUGGUCCCCUGGCCAGCAGAGCCACUGGCCUUUAGCUGGCAGUGUCACUGGUCACCUGGUCAGCAGUGUCACUGGUCACCUGGUCAGCAGUGUCACCGGUCCCCUGGCCAGCAGAGCCACUGGCCUUUAGCUGGCAGUGUCACUGGUCAUCUGGUCAGCAGAGUCACUGGCCCACAGCUGGCAGUGUCACCGGUCCCCUGGUCAGCAGUGUCACUGGUCCCCUGGCCAGCAGAGUCACUGGUCCCCUGGCCAGCAGAGUCACUGGUCCCCUGGCCAGCAGAGUCACUGGCCCUCAGUUGGCAGUGUCACCAGUCCCCUGGCCGGCAGAGUCACUGGUCCCCUGGCUGGCAGAGUCACUGGUCCCCUGGCCGGCAGAGUCACUGGCCCUCAGCUGGCAGUGUCACCAGUCCCCUGGCCGGCAGAGUCACUGGUCCCCUGGCUGGCAGAGUCACUGGUCCCCUGGCCGGCAGAGUCACUGGUCCCCUGGCCAGCAGUGUCACUGGUCCCCUGGCUGGCAGAGUCACUGGUCCAGUCCUGCUUCCUGCAGCAUCACCAACCCCACCUGCACCAUCACCUGUCCCACAACUGCAUCAUCCCCAGUCCUCCUCCCUCGUGGGGGAAAACCAUCCAGGGAAAACCCAUCCCCAUCCCACUGGAGCACCGGUGCCGUGCUAUAACCCAGGUGAGCCUGGCUUAAAGCCCAGGGCGGGAGGGAAGUGCUGCAGGAGGACCCAGGCGUGCAGCACUUGUCCCCGGCAGUGCCACCGCUCCGUCCCCGCGGCUCCGGGAGGAGCGGUAACCCCCCUGCGGUGCCGGUGCCGGGGCUGUCCCACCCCAAACCCCAUCCCGAGCUGUCCCCCGAGCAGAAGGGCGGCUGGGUGUCACCUCUAGGGUGGGGGUCCCGCGGCCCCUCCCGCGCUCACCUCCAGCUCCGCGAUGAUCCGGUCCUCGUCAUCGUCGUCCUUGAUGGCAGAGGCGAUGAUGGGCGGGGUGGACGCCGGCCUGACCACCUCGGACACCGUCCGCCUCAGCUUCACCUGCGGCUUCUGCGUCUCCAGCUCCUCCGACUCCGCCUUCUGCGGGGGACAGCGGGGCCGUGAGGGCUGGGGGGGCACCGGGGGGCACCGGGAGGUACCGAGGGGCCACUGACCACCCCAGCCCAGCGGCCACCCCGCCGUCCCCACCUUCAUAAAGCCGGGCUCCUUCUUGCUGGUGACAAUGACCUCACCGCUGCGGGUCGUGGUCAGCCCGUGGGACGAGGGGAAGCUCCGGCGGGGCGGGGGAGGCGGCGGCGACUUCGAGGGUUUCUCGGUGCGGUACCGCGGCACCGUCAGCUCGUCUGGGCACAAACGGAGCUGUGAGGGCACCGCGCCGGUCC